AGGUGAACGAAACACGACAGUCCCCGCAAACCGUACACAGCCCACAAGGCCUUUGUUGUCAUUCUGAGACCUCAGCAGGACAGGUGUUUUUCUCCGCCUGACGCUGUGCUCUGAGGUUCUCAAUCUCUGCUCUGACCCAAGCCCCCCCAGACCCCCCCCCCCCCCCAUCUUCUCCUUCUGCCCUUGUGAAAUUCAGCCAUGAGGUGAGCUUCUUCACUUGUCCCUGUCACAGUUUGUAAACCUUUAUGGCUGUUUAGACAGGGGGGGCUCUUCAGUGGAGGGCUUAGGGGAAAUAUCUGAACUUGAAAUAUGCUGACAUGAUGAUGUUACAAAAGUUAAAUAAGGUUUGGCUUUACAGUUGGGUGCGCACAUGCAGUUUGGCUAAGUAUGAAUAUAAUAUAUCAUAUAUCAUAGAAUAUAAUUAAGAUCUCAUUACUAAUUAUUUUUUUUAUUAGGCCACAAAAGAUAAGCUCAACUUCAUCAAAAUGAUGUAAAAAAAUAAAAUAAAAUUGAUGUUCAACCACUUAUAAUAA